CUUGGGCCAUCUUCCACUGCCUUCCCAGAUGCACUAGCAGGGAGUUGGGUUGGAAGUGGAGCAGUCGGGACUUGAACCCAUACUCCAAUUUACGAUGCCAACAUCACAGGCAAUGGCUUAACCUGCUGUGCCACAGUGCCCAUCCCCUUUUCAUCUUUUUUUCAUGGAGAAAAAUCUCUUUUUUUCCCCUACCAAACAUGAAUUUGCUUUGCUUUUUGACCCCCAAUGCCACAUAUCAUCAACCCUGCACCCUCUCCUCUCCCACCACCUCCAUCAAUAGAUGAGCGCAUGCAUUUCUUGCCGAAGCAGGCAAUGUUGAUCCCAGGUGAGCUGGCUGGUCUCACCAUCAGGGUGCUAGAGCCAAGAAGAGAGCUGCCAGAGGUGAACUUUCAGGCUUGAGUGGAUCUGGAUUCAUUCCUCUACAGCACUGGCAAGGAACAUCCGUCUCUCUGCCACGUUCUUCCCACUGGACUGUGGCUUCGAUGACUGCGCAUACCAAGACAUCAGGCAUGGCAACAGGGGAAGAAAAAGGAGAGAGAGCCUUCUCAUCCAGGAAGUUCAGGCGCAAGCCAACAUCCUAACCACUGUGGCCACGCAGGAUUCAACUGUGUUUUCCACGGCACUGAGGUUUUGAGCUCGGUGAAGUGGAGGCUGCUGUGCUCAACAGGGGGUAACAAAGAAAAACGUCCAGCGAAGACUUCGGUGGAUGAGGCAGGUUCUAGCAGCCCUCAGCAAUCCAUGCACCCUCUAAAGACCAGCAGAGAGCCUGUCUCGAGUCUCCAGCCAUGCCACGUUUGCUGUUCUUCAGGUUUUCUGUUAAACUGGUACUGGCAUAACAUCGCCUCUAACAAGCUGUAGGAAAGUUAUGCUUAUAAAACAGCAAUUGUUAUAAUCUGAUGUUAUGAAUAAUUGUACUAACAUAUAAGUAUAUAUUAAACGCUUGUUCCUACAGGAAAGAACAAACACUGCUUUCAAUUCUGAAAUUAUAUUCAAUCUCUCUCUGGCUGACGCAGCUGAUUUCCAGUCCUGAGAAUGAAAUGAGUGAAUUUUCCUUCCAACCCAUCUGACCUUAACAUAAUAUACUUCCAAUCAAGGGGUCUAAGCAAGUCAAAAUGAGGCUCCUUGUAAAGAAAUUUAAACAAUUUUAAUCCCCCUGGCAAAGCAAAGACAUUUCUUUAUACGCCAAAAGGUACUAGCCACACUGGCGCCAUUGUUAUUACAACGAAAAUAUCAGUACAGAUAAAUCUACAAAUUUGCAUAUCGUUGGAUUCGAUAUAAAAUGCAAGUCAGAAUAUCCUCAUUAAGCUGAUAUUUGAGACUUCUUUCUGUUCUUUCCAAAUAUUUCACAGGAAUGUGAGGAUUUCUUAAAGGUUGAAUGAUGAUGAUGAUGAUGAUGAUGACAAUGAAAACAGACUUACAGUUUACAACGUGCUGGGGCCAGUUAUAAAAUUUUUACAGAAAUGACUUGUUCUCUUAAACUUCUCAAUAAGCUCAGAUGAUAUAGUGUGUCCUUGGCAUUCACUGCAUAAAAAAAUUUAUGUCAAAACUUCAUGGCACAAAACAAUCACCUUUUUGUUUUUGCUCACAAUCUGCUAUUCUGUAAUUUGGGCUGGGCUCAGCUGUGUGGUUCAUCUGGUAUUGACUGGGCACUUUCAUGUGUGUGUGGCCAGAUGCUGUUUGGUGGAGGCUGUUGGUGAGAUCAUCUCAGGUGGAAUGGUUUAUCUCUGCUCCUUCCUGAGCAAAGUAGCUUGUGUUUGUUCACAUGAUGGCUGGGUAGGGUUGUGAGAGAAAGCGGAAGCAGCCAUGGCAUCCAUGGCUUAGGCCCAGAACCAAUAUACUGUCACCCAAUGUUGAACAC
ensembl:lncRNA